AAGUCGUAACAAGGUUUCCGUAGGUGAACCUGCGGAAGGAUCAUUAUUGAAUAUUCUUGAUGGGUUGUAGCUGGCUCUUCGGGGCAUGUGCACGCCUGUCUUGACUUUAUUCAUCCACCUGUGCACCUUUUGUAGUCUUGGGGGUUGAGAGCAGUCAAUAAUCGGAUGACCAUUUGGUCACUCCGGGUGUGAGGAAUGCUGAGUGCGAAAGCAUACAGCUCUUCUCAAAGUGACUUGUAAUCCUCUCCUUCAAGUACUAUGUAUUCAUAUACCCAUAGUAUGUUGUAGAAUGUGAUCAAUGGGCCUAAGUGUGCCUAUAACAAUCAUAUACAACUUUCAGCAACGGAUCUCUUGGCUCUC
rnacentral:misc_RNA from 1 species